CCUAACCCAUUUGGGAGGGGGAUGCCGAAGGCAGGGUUGGUGACUGGGGUGAAGUCGUAACAAGGUAGCCGUACCGGAAGGUGUGGCUGGAUCACCUCCUUUUUAGGGAGACCUACUUGCCGGAUUUGACCCAACCCAAAUUCUUAGGUCACAGGCAAGUUAUCCCAGGUCGGUCGAGAUUGGUAGCUAGAGCUUUCAAACUAUUAAACGGUUCGGCACAACACCCUCGUUGUGCAAAGUGAGAGUAAUCCUUACCCAAUAGGUAGGGUUAGCUCACCCGGAACUCAAGAAAGCUUGUUACACUAAUAAGAGGGGGACGUAAUCCCUGCACUCCAAAAGGGUGAACUCAAAGCUUUAAAACAAUUGGACAAAAGAAUUCAGCAAUCUUGCUUGAUACUCUCGCAAGCCUGCUGGAGUCUGUUCCAGUCAGAACCUUGAAAACUGCAUAGCAACUAAAUCAGGUAGAAACUGUAGGUAAAAACUGUUAAGAGUCAGUAGUCAGUGGUCAGUGGCUUCUCAGCUACGGACAACGGAUAACGGACAACAGACAGUAGAUAUCACAAGACACCAAUAUAACUAUUGUGGUCAAGCUACAAAGGGCUUAGGGUG
rnacentral:misc_RNA from 1 species